UGCGGGGUGGAAGAAUUGGUUAAACUCGUCUGGCUCAUGCCCAGAAGAUUGCUGGUUCGAAUCCUGCCUCCGCUA
rnacentral:tRNA from 1 species